AGAAGAAGAAGCAGCAGCAGCAGCAGCAGCAGAAGAAGAAGAAGAAGAAGAAGAAGAAGCAGCUUCCGGCCGCCAUCUUUGUUUGGUUUAGGAAACAGUGUUAAAUAUCUUCUUCGUUGUGCAGCAAAAACAAUAUUUUUCGUUCAAGCUUUGUAGAAGAAUAUUUUGGGAACCUGGAAAUGUCCUCAUCACAUUGCUCCUGCGGGAAUUCAUCAUCAGAGCAGCAUAUUUCAAACAGUAACCAAAAGAGAAGUGAACAGGGAACGAGAGUCUGUCUGUGAAAAGAAGUCCAUCAUCUCAAGACUCGAACUCGCUGUCGCUGCUGACGGAGAUCUCUGGAGUGGAGGCUCCUGUUCCUCUGCGCUCGGUCUCUGUGCUACAGUCGCUGGCCUCCGGGCUGCCCGGGUGGCGGGAGGCAGGCAACAAGUGGGGGUGAUGGCGGCGCUCCUGAAGCGAGCCGUCAGGUGGUGAAUCAUCCAAAGGACAUACACACACACCAGAUCUGAAGGCCAGACUGAGCCGAUGCCUUUUCCCCAAAUGAUGAAAGAGACCAAAACUACCGGUACAUUCAGGUGCUGCAAUGUCUGUUCAAUGAAAAUGUCCGGAUAUGUUGUUCUGUGGCUCAAGUUGUGACAAAGGAUGAUUGACAUUUUUAUAGACUCAAACUUAGAGUUUCAAUAUGUAAUGUUAACUAUAAAGAGUGCUGCCUGUACUAUUUAACUCGUCAGAAGGACAUUUUGUCUUCAGUAGAUAUAAAUCUGUAAUUCCAUGAUUUUUUUUUUCUGUUUGGACACUGUAUUGUGUUUUAAUCCAAGAACAGACUGAGAAUAUGCUAAACUUGUUAGCAACUACAAAUUAAUACACACACACACACACACUGCUUCAUUGGCUGGACCCAUAGAUGGUGGAACCCCACUUGGCAUAAUUAAUUAGUAGCUUAAACAGAAGCCUCCUGCUUAAAAAAUGACCUGUUGAUUUUGCCAACAGGCAAAGCGGGGGGCAUGCGUGUGUGUGUGUGUGUGUGUGUGUGUGUGUGUGUGGAAUGGGGGGUAUUACCAUGCUGUAUAAAUCCACACCAAGCACAAUUAACAAGCAAUUGGGAGGAGAAGUAAUUAGUAUUAUCUGCUUAUCACCGUCAACCCCUAUUCUAAAGAAAAUGGGUUAAAAAACACACAAUGACACAUGCACACACACUAAUUCCCUCCAGGCAAAUGUGUAAGGGCUAAUUACAAGCUCAUUUGCAACUCAACAGCAGUAUCCUCUCAGACGGGUCUAUCCCCCUGUGUCCUCCCCUCCCCUUGUCCCCAACAUACUGUGUGUUAGCUUUACCUCUUAGCCCAUGCCGGGGGCACUCACCAAACAAACGACAAAAGCUGCUUCCCCACCCGUCGCUGUUGGGUGUGAGGAGGAGAGAAAGAGAGGUAGAUCUCUUAAUUCAAUAGACACAGGUGAUAUAAAGUAAAUGUGUGGACUGCAUUUUCAGCCAACACUGAUGGGGGAUUUCAUUAAAACUUUAAAACCAAUUUGAUGGAUAUUUUAUAUAUAUAUAUAUAUAUAUAUAUAUAUAUAUAUAUAUAUAAAGCAUAAUUAUAAAUUAAGGAAAUAGACACACAUCAUACCAGUGUGGACAUCGACAAAAGCGUUAUUGGGUGUGGUAUAUUCAAAGCUUCUGCCUAAUAAACAUGUUUAGAGACUCUGUGAUCUUAUGGGAGCCCAGAUAAAGGUAAUGCAGAUCCAUGAAGGCACAGCAUCUAUAUCAUGCAAAAGCCUAGCAGCAUUUUGUAUUUACAGUUAACUUAUAUAAUUAUUAGUUUUGCCUAGCUGUGACACCCAGGGCUGCAACUGCUGAUUAUUUUCUUUAUCAAUGAAUCUAUUGAUUUUUUUUGUUUGUUUGUUUGUUUGUUUGUUUUUUUGUUGUUGUCUUGAUUAAUUGCUUGGUCUCUAAAAUGUCAUAAAAUAGUGAAAAAUUCCCAUCCAGAGCCCAAGCUGACAUAUUCAAAUUCCUUGUUUUCUCAAACCAACAGUCCAAAACACAGAUAUAGUAAAUUUACUAUCAUCGAAGACUUUAAGAAAACCAGCAAAUAUUCCCUCUGAGAAGCUGGAACGAGUGAAUUUUUGGCGUUUUGACUUUAACGAUCAAUUGAUUAUCAAAGUUAUUGCAGAUUAAUUUUCUGUCAAUCGACUAAUCCAUUAAUGUGUUAAUCGUUUUACUUCUGGUGUAUUGUCUGUAUUCAUAGUGUAUGAAGUGUAAUCAAUCUGUUUUUUAUUAUCUCUGCCCUAAUGAAGACCAUGUGAGGUCAAAGCUGGAUGGCAUUUUUAAUCACUAAAUAUACCUCUUUCUAGAGUGCUUGAAGAACAUUUUUCUUUUAUCUGUGACCAGGUUUGUGUUGUGUUAGACCCUCGUCUCACAUCAAAUUUACAGUUAAAGUAACAAAUGUAUUGUGCCUCAAUUUGUAUAUGGUACAAAUCAAAUGUUGCACUGUUUUUACAAGAGCAGGAUAUAUAUUAAAUUAAACUAGCCUAAAGAAUUGACCAAAAUAACUAAGUUAACUAACUAAACUAAAAAAUACUGACCCUUAACCAAAUUAUUGUCAAGGUGAAUUCAUCAAAUCGGCAGUUGUAGUUGUGUCAGAAAUAAGAGUGGCAUCACUUGUCUUGGGAUAUCAUAUAAUUGUUAUGGUCAAGGGAAUACAUUGUUAAUAUAUUUUUAAGUGCCUUAAAGGCCUGAAAUAAGUCAGGUCCGGUUUCUAAAAAAUGUAGAUCAUGCGAUAUUGAUGUCAUGAUUAGCAUAUUCCAGAGAUCAAUUUUCGUCUUUAAGGCUUUCAAAUAGUAUCAGAAACACAGAAGGAGACUCUUGAAAGUCACCAAACUUGUGACUUGAUUCACUUUUCAUAUGUACUGUAGUGCUGUGUCACUGUGCCCGGUUUCCUGAUAUUUCCGGGGGAAAUCCCCUCUGCCUUAAUUAAUAAGUGAGACAGAGCAACAAGCGCUUUUACACUUCAAGGUAUAAAGUGAAAAGCUGUCUGGAGAGUGUAAUGAGAUGUUCUUUCCAGGUAUUGUUAACCGGUGGAUUGGGUAGUUCCCUGCAGUAUAAUGAACCAUCCUCAGACAGUAUCAUGUACGCUGUUUGAGGGAUCAGCUUACCACAAGCUCACGGUUAGCUGGCAAACUCUAAUUUAAGCCUUUAAAAAAUAGCCCGGCAAAUCACUGCUCACAGUGGAUUAUUUGUUUUCUUGUUUGUUGAUUGUGGUCAUGGAGCUUCGAAUACUGAGAGCUGACUGUCUGGGUGACACAGAAGGUGAUAUAAAAAAUGGGACCACUUUCAGCCUCUGUGUUUAACUCCAACGAAGCCUGGAAACCCUUUGACUGUAGUUAAGAUCGUUCAAUAAUCAGAUGAAAUGUGUUGUCCCUGUUUUGUUGUGAUUUUUUUAAAAACAAUUUGGCCUAAGUGACUUUAAAUAUCCAUCUUCUUAAGUUGUGCUUUUCCUGUUUGUAAAUGUAACUUUUAAGUAAACAAAGGUGUUUGUGAAUUUUUAAGUAAUUUAAAGUCGAGCUGAGAGCCUGCUGCACAUUACACAAAACUAAUAAACUAAUAAUAAAUUCAUUUUGUGGGGUUCAGCAGCCCCCACCUCACUUACCGUGUCCAUUAUGUGUUAAAUAAAUCAAACAUUCUCUCAGUCCACUGUAGGUUAACUAAAUAAACAAAUAUUUAUUUUGAUUGAUGGCACUGCAGAUUUAAUCUUGUGUAGUCUUUGUAAAAGUAUUACUAGGAAUAAAAAAAUUAGUUUCACAAACCCUUUUUCAUAUCUGAUUUGUUACUAAUGAUCUGCCCAUUUACCAGUUUCGGCUGCUUUUAUGGGUACAUUUAAUUAUUCGCUGAUUAUUGUUCUCAUUUUUAUGUUUAGUUGCAGAAUUUAUGACAUGAACACAACCAGAGCAGCUUGUGCAUACAGAUAUCUUUGAUGAAACUAUGUACUGUAUAAGUUUGCAAUAAUAUUAUAAAACAAAACAUAGACUGUAAUAUUAAAAAACAAGUUAAAAUAGCUUACAAGGCUUUAUUUGUAAUUUCAUGUAAGACAAGUGUAUUACACAACUGUGUUUUUCGUCAACAUUGCCUGAUGUUCAUAUCAAACCCUCUGUCUUGCUUCGUCAUAAAACGCUGCUCUUCCUCUGCUUCCCUUCAUCAUCAUAUCUAACAGGUGUUACUGGAGUUGUUUAGGAACCUGAGGGAUUUAAGGUGGGACUUAUUCUUACCUAAUGCUAUAAUGCUCAUUAAUUCCUGCUUUGGUGACUUACAUCCCCCUGAUCCUCUAUGGUCCGCCCGGCCCAUCCUCGCCCUCUGUGCUGCUGACGCUGUCAGGGCCUCGACAGAAAGACCACUCAGCUGUCAGGUGGGAAGAAGCAUUAGAGGGGGAUACAUUUUCUUUUAGAGGGAAACUGUAGGGGAAGGCAGGAACAUGGGAUUGUAAGAUAGGGGUGUCUGCAUGGGCGUGAUAUGGCCAAUUUUGUCGUGACCUGCCAACCGUAGAGUGGUGUGUUGGCAGGCUGUGUUUCCCCUUGAGUAUCUUCUGUGACAAUUGUGUACUGGGAUUUGGGGCAAUCUGUGUCCAAAACUAGUUUCCGUAGUUAGGGCGGGGAAAGAAAUGAUAAAGUCCUUUUGCUUUUUGCAUGAAGUCCCUCAACUGGAAAUCCUGGGUUCAAACCUCAUGGCCACAAGUGUUUCCCUGUUGAAGUAUCACACAGUGUGUACUGGUUUUCCUGUUUGCUUUUCUGUUUCUUUCUGUAAACGGAGUCAGUAUAGUCAAUUUGGGUCAUACCCUGUGUGCUCAAUUGAAUGUAAUUACAUGUACAUUUCUACUAUUUCUACUAUAAAACAUCUCUAUAAGGAACUUAGACAAAUAUGAGAUGGUCAUCCCAAAAACGGGCAAAUAAUUGGGCUUUCCUCAAAAGAAGUGGAACGGUACACAAAAUUCAUGGUUCGAUACGCAACCGGAAACAAAACAUCAUCAUGUUGGGACACAGAUAAACACACAGAUAAAAAAAAUUGCCCGUUGGUGAUCUUUCUCUUAUGAGGGGGUGGGCAAAGGGAGAGACACAAACCCCUAUGUUACUUUGUAUGUUUUCAUGUUUGUAAAUACUUAAUUUUGGGGGGGUAUUAUCUCAAACUAAUUAAAGUUCAGUUAUGCAAAGCAUUUAACACAACCUUAAUUUAACUUUUGUCAAACUUCUUCAGCCCAUCCUCACACUAAUAAUUUGACAUAAUAUAAUAAUUUAUAUUAAUAAUAAUAAUUUGAUGUGCUGAAUUCAGUGCUGAUGCUCUGACACUGAAAUUAUGCAUUUAAUGAGUUAUAAUUUGCACUCUGUCUCUUCAUAGUGUCUUGCUUAACAUUGUUCUCUGUCACAUCUCACAUUUUGACUGAUUCUUGUCCAUUUAAUAAGUUUUGCACGUAUGUGUAAGCUUUCCAACCCCAAUGGCCCAAGUUUGCUGGUAAAUAUUUAUUUAUUUAUACGUAAGAUUGAUAGCACCAAAUUUGGUUCAACAGGAGUUUUAGAUGUUAUACAAACUCUGACUUCAUGACAGCAAGAACAUUUACAAAAAAGUAGUGAAAACCAAUACUGUCACCCUCACUACUAGCUUAUAUUGAUUUCCCCUCCCCCCCAUGUUGUGUGACUCUUUGAUACAAGGGCUGACAGCUCAACUAAAAAUUAAAUCAUCAUUAAGUAUAUUACUUAGAGUAAGUGGUCAGCCAGGUUUGUUUAUCAAAACAGUUGCAUCUUCAUAGUAAAAUCAGUUAACAUGAAUCUUUAAAGCUGCUUUUGAUAGAUUUUAUAUCAGUAUAAGGAGUAAGGAAAAUCAACAUUUGAUUUGUUCUCUAUCGCAGCAGUAGCAAGGCAUGAUGAUAUCACUGAAAUCCUUCUGGUUAUCUUUGAGACAUUGUUGGCAUACACCCAAUUUGUGUUGUGCAAACACAAAGGUAAUCGUAUCAUAGCUUCUGUCAUCUGUUACUGAAUGACCGAGGUAAAUGAGCCUCGUCUUAGUGCAUCGAUCGAAGCAGAAUUAACUCACUGUGGCCGCGGCAGCCACUGUAAAUGUGAGUGGUCGAGCACAUGUGUUUCAGUGUUCUUGAAUUUCCUGCAGCACAGCAUGACAUAUCAUAUAUGUAAGCAUGAUGAUUUUUAAUGAUUACUCACCUAUGUGUGUAUAUUUAUGUCUAUAUGUCUAAUGCGUCUUUUCCCGCUGGGUUCAUGUGACAGCAUGGGUGGGAGGCUAAGAGUGUUAGCUUGGUGAGAGGGAUUACCUAUAUCUGUUAGGCCUCCUUUUCUUUCCCCUGGGCAGUGUCACGUCUCAUUACUUCUGUCCUCCAGCCCGAAUAGUCUGGCUUUAGCGGGAUACAUUUAAAAUGCGGGCAGCCUGGACGUCCAAGAACACCAGGUUUAGAGGCAGACUGAUAUGCGUGUCCUUUGCUUGAGAGGCUUUUUUUCAGUGAGCAGACAGGUAAACUUCUCCCAAAGCUGGCAUUGAUGGCAGUUAAGCCUUCACUUGUUUAAGUGAAACGGAUGGCUGCAUCUCAGAGAGAGACGUGCUCGGCGUGUGGUUAUAAUCUGUUGUUGUGAUUGUCUCAUCAAGAAAGACUGUGUCCGUGUUCCCAGCUGACAGACCUGCAUGUAAUUAACAUGUAUGAGGAAGAGAAGGGGGGAGGUUGUAAAGGAAGAAAGCAAGGUAGAGUGUGCUACUAGAUGAGGGCAUUGUAGAGUAGUGAGGGUGAGCUGUUUUAUAGGCAGUAACAUAAUAUUAGAACUGAAACAAUUUUGAUAAUCAAUUAGUCAUUUAAGUCAUUUUUCAAGUAAAAAUGCCAAACUUUCUGUGGUUCCAGCUUCUCAAAAUAUGAGCCUUUGCUGCUUCUCUCUGUUUUAUAUCAUUUUAAAUUCAACAUCUUUGGGUUUUUUCACUAUUGGUUGGACAAAGCAAGACAUUUGAGGAUGUCAAACCAGGCUCUGGGCUUUUUUUUCACUAUUUUGUGACAUUUUUAGAGCAAAAAUUAAUCGAUCAAUCUAGAAAAUAAUCUGCAGAUUAAUCGAUAAUGAAAAUAAAUAAAUAAAAAAAUGACAGGCAUUUGUUACAGAACUGCUGAAACUCUGACAUACAGCUAGUGUGGCAAAUACACAUUUAUGUAAUUGUAGUCUUUUUCUAAGUCAGUAUUCUGAUAUAUUCUAAACCCCCUUUGAGACUCUUCAGUUAACAAAUCAUUUAUAAAAUAAAUAUAAAGAUCUCUUCAACCAUUUCUCUAAAGCAUUCGGCCUAAUCACUUGCAAAUCCUUCCAGUCAAGUGGCUCAUUAGAAGAAAUUACUGAUGGUAAGCUGAGUGGCAUAAACAUCCUCUAUAGUUCUUUUCUCUUCAAACUGCUGUUAAACAUGCCACAGUGGACAAACAACCAAUUCAUUCGCAGCCACAUUUCAUUUGCGAAUUCCUUUUAAUCAUUAUGGGUCAUUGACUCCUUCAUUUCUCACCUAUUCAGUGACUCAGAAUGGCCUGUAUAUCUACAACGGCUGUAUUUUGACCCCUUGCUCUCGUUGCCCCCCCCCGACCUCCAGCUGGUUCCCUCCACCGUCCAGAAGCUAUGGAGCUCUCCUGGCCUUAGCAGGGCGGCUAAUCUAGAUGGCGGGAGGCCUCCCUCCUGCUAGCGUACACAAGAAAGGGCAGCCCUAAUUGCUUAUGUCGUAAAGCUCUCUGACCUAGAUAAGCCUCCACUCCCCAAAGCUGUCAAUAUAAACCCCACUUUACCUCACCAAACCAGUCUCUCCUGAUCCACACAAGCCACCCCCCUCCUAACAUUUCUGCACCUUCUGCCACAUUAUGAACACCCUGGACGGGGGGAGAAGGGGAGAAGAAAACGAACACCAUGGGUGGACGAAACAUGACCUCUUUGUAAAAUAGUAAUUUACCAACAGCUUAUUUAAGGACUUGUAUGUUGCAGGAAAAUAACCACUUUGAGUGGUAUUUCUAAUUUAUGUAUUUUUACAUAAACCUUUUAGAAAAAGUCUUCAUGUAGCUCGAAGCAGAGUGGGGGGAAAAAACUUGGACAACAGUACUAAGCUUUUUUAGAUGCAUGAAUAACCUUCCUCAAAAAUAUAUAAAAUAUUGUUCAGGACUGCUUAUAAGUCAGAGUAAGAGCACAUCUUUGAAGAGGAAGGCGUGAUAAAUUGACCAGAAAGCCAAAGUGCCAGAUAUUUGAUUAGGUGUGCCCAAUGAAAGCAGAUCUCAAAGCAUGGCGUUGCGUGCUACUAGCUCUCGCGUGCCUGGUUCAUUAUUGAACCCGGUAAUUCAGGCUUAGCCACAAAAUGCCACAGUGUUUCGGACAGUUGUCAAGUGCCGAAUGUCACACAUGCUUUACUUUGCUAACAGAUGACCAGCUCACCAAUCAACACUUUACAGCUAUGCAAACAGAUAGUUUUUACUAUUGCUAAUUAGUUUUAACGUCAACUUUCUAAAACUGGCUUUUGUCAUAUUAAGACAUUUAAUAGGAUAUAAUGUAAAACAUUGUUUUUCAGAAAUAUUAGCUGGUAACUCAGGUGGUGUAGCUGUUUGCUUGUUGUUACAGAAGUAAUUCAGUCCAUAUCAAACUGGAGCCUUACUGAGAACUCCUUCAAGUCCACUUUAAUACAGAUCUUAAUUACUAAAUUGGAGCUUUUAAUUGGAUGCUAGCCUGACUGGCGCGGUAAUCACCCAUCACAUGCUAUUGGUGCAGGGAUGCCUUUAAACCCCCAUCUUAAGCCAUGUUACACCACAGGUUAAUGUCAACUGUGUCAAGUGCUUGGUGAACGAUACUCCUACUGAUAUCUUGUCGUUUUUCUCACUGUGAAUGACCCAACACAAAAAAUCUAAUUCGUACAUAACUUGACUGACACAAUUUAAACUCAAAUGAUUGAAAUCUGCUGUAUUAUGUAUGUUAGGAACAUGUUUCUUAGACAUUAAGCGCUGUAGUUCUUGGCUUGUCCUGCCCUCGGCUUCUUCACCUCCUAUUUAAGUGAUACUUGGAGAAAGACUGUUGACAUUACUUGUCAUUACAAAUCCCUCUGGUGAAGUUAAGUGAUUGGAUUUGUGCAUUUCCAAGUGCUCCAAAGAGCUUUCUGAUGACUGAGGAUGUUCAGUAGUUGUACCAACUGAGUGUAUCUUUUAUAAGUACAAUGAGUGACAGUUAUUGGUCAAAUAAAAGUCACCCAGUUGGUUUAAUAGAAAUUCCAACAAUACAAAUCAGGCAUUAUAUUUUGCGAACACAAAAACAAAAAACAAAAACAAAAAAAAACAUUUUCAAGUAAGGAAGAGACACAGGAGAAAUAAAGCACCACACCACAUCACCACACAAGGUCAUUUGUUGAAACUGAUUUCACUCCAAAAAUACAGAAUAAAAGUGAUCUUUAUAGUGGUUCUAAAACAAAAAUGUUCCAUACCAAACAUUUCACAAUUUCGUGCUACAGUUUUCCUGCUUGGGGUCGUCAAAAAAAAAAAAGAAAAAAAUUUCCAGUUAAAGGAAAACAUUUUCACAAUAAAUAUAUCAUUAACACUAAAAGUGAAGAAGGAAAAAAUAUUUAAAUUGCUCUGAAAUCAACAAUUACAUAACAACGUAACACAAUAUAUGCAUACUUUGCAGCACAUAUGCUGUUUAUAUGCAUUUAUACUAAACAGACAUGAGAAGAGUGGUAGUCAAGGUUUAAUACUGUCUGUACCAGUAGGUUACAGAAUAUGUGUAAGAUCAAUAAUUUUCUAGUGGUGUUGAGAAACAUUUCCACAGUAGUAUUUUUGACAACACAGGCUGCUUUUGUUUGUGGUUUACAUUUUGAUUAUUUUUCUCUCUCUACCCACUAACGAUGCUACAUUUCUACCUGUAGCCCACUGACCCCAUCAUAUACUCUACUUCCCCAACUCCAGAUAAUCUAACGAUUACCAGUGUUCCUGGUAAUCCUCAGUGUUAUAAUACAGCAGUUUUCCACAGUCUUGGUGAACUUAUAGUGUCAUACAAUGUUCUAUGUAAAGUUUCCAAGUGCGUUGUUAUCCUAUGACUUGUGAGUAAUCUCUUCAGACAGUUUGUGGCAAGAACGAGCACUCGCAGGGUACUAGAAAUUUCUGACGUGCUGUGCGCAGACAUCCCCCUGAGCACCAAACAACACUGGUGUUGUGUAAUCCCUGUGUUCUGCUGUAGUGUUUCUAACACUCACUUCAGGCUAAAAUAUAUACUGCAACACUGCACUUCACACUAAGUGCCUGCUGCCAUCUGGUGGUCGGAUCAUUGAUUGGCACAACAUUCAAAAGAACUGAAAAGUUACACAUUUGUGAAAAACUGGGUUUUCAGUUAACCUGAUAAUCAGACUGAAUUGCCGUUUUGUUUCACUUCAUUAUUGUUAUUGAAUAGCUGAAAAUAUCUGACAAAAAUGUCUGGAACCAGGCUGGACUUUUGUGGACCCCCUGCCAGAAUUUAAGUGAGCAACUGAAACUAAAUCGCAUGUUCUUUCUGCUACAGCAAACAUGUCUACCCUGUAAAUCAUGUGUCCUGUGUUCUCCUUUGAGAAAAAAAAUUAACGUUUUUUCAUAUUUUUUGGUUUCAUGAUUUUGUCCCGUAUCUUUCCAGUAGCCAGUCAGAAGGCUGUUAGUUCUCGAUCUACAUAGACGGACAACUUGUUUUCAUACAGCCAAAUCAUAUUGUUUCAUUUUAAACUGUAUUUGCAUAAAGCCGUAACGUCACAGUUUUUACUUUGUGAUAGAAAGACCCUUUUUUCUUCCUUUUGAUAAUAAAAAAAACUAUCAACUAUAAAUUUGGCAUUACUUUCUACUUCUAAAAGGGAUGACUAAAUGUGAUUUCAGUUGGACUUUGAGGGACACGGCAAUCUUUGAUCUGCUGUCAUGAAAUGUAGAGCCUUAAACUUCAUGUUACAUACAGUGAGAUUAGGACUCUUGUUUCUUAGGAUAUCUCUCUGAGACGCUCUCUUGUAGUCACAUUCUAUUUUUGUAUCUGGACAAGCUCAGAAAUGUUUUAAAAAUAGAAAAUGUACUUCAUAUGCUUUAACAUUAACGUCGCUCAAAUGCCAUCUAGAUUUUAGAUUUGCAUUUGAUUAAAAAAACAAAACAACAGUAAUCUCAUGAGCCGCUAGCCAGCUUUCCGGUCUUGAAUGAUCAUUUCUUCCUUUCAGUCCCAACUAGCAAGACGCUCUCAGAAAUCCCCAGAGAACAUUUCCCUGCUGCUCAUUUUCAGAGGGUCUUGAAAUAAACCCAAGAGGAAGUUGGAUUAGAUUAAACUCCUACUGUGCCAUCAUCACAAGAAAACUAGGACGAUUUGGGCAGGGAGAGCCUGACUGGAAGCUAAAUCUGGUUAAAA